UAAUAAGUGUUUUAUGGCACUUUUUAAAUCCAUAUCCACCUUAUGUGCAAUGUCAGUCGAUCUUCUUCAUGGAGAUUGACCAAACAUCAACCUUUAUCUUUUAACAUCUUUGUCUGAAAAAUAUUAUGAAUAAACAAUUCAAAAUA
rnacentral:misc_RNA from 1 species